rnacentral:rRNA from 1 species
CCUACGGGGGGCUGCAGUGGGGAAUAUUCCACAAUGGGGGAAACUCUGAUGCAGCGACGCCGCGUGAGUGAAGAAGUAUUUCGGUACGUAAAGCUCUAUCAGCAGGGAAGAAAAUGACGGUUAGUGACUAAGAAGCCCCGGCUAACUACGUGCCAGCAGCCGCGGUAAUACGUAGGGGGCAAGCGUUGGCCGGAUUUACUGGGUGUAAAGGGAGCGGAGACGGCAGCACAAGUCUGGAGUGAAAGGCCGGGGCUUAACCCCGGAGCUGCUUUGGAAACUGUGCAGCUUGAGUGCAGGAGAGGUGAGUGGAAUUCCUAGUGUAGCGGUGAAAUGCGUAGAUAUUAGGAGGAACACCAGUGGCGAAGGCGGCUUACUGGACUGUAACUGACGUUGAGGCUCGAAAGCGUGGGGAGCAAACAGGAUUAGAUACCCCUGUAGUC